UAAACAUUAUCAUCUCAUUUAUAAGUAACAUUCUUAAAAAUUGCCUUGUAUGAUAGCAGUAGAAUGAAGAAAUUUUGUUUUGUGGAAAGAAAAGAAGACAGCAAACCCACAGGUGAUUUAAUCAACAAAUCUUGCCAAGAACUUCUUGUGAAACUCGCUUCUCAACAUAUCAUUAACAAAUCCAGGCCGAGGUGUGUCAUCAACCCCUUUAUGUGUAUUCCUAAAAACAACGUCUUCGUCCCAUCGACGCUUAACUUGAAAAGACCCUGAAGAAGCUUUAUUCAAAAGCUCAUUUCCAAAAGCUAUUUCCCGUUCCCUUUUUUCUUGCUCCAGUGCUCUGUUUUUCUCUUCCUGAAGCAUUUGCUCUCGUUUUCUUUCUUGUUUUAUAUUUUCCAACUCUCGAAGUAGCUGUUGUGUCUCAUCUUCUGAAUCGGACUCUUCGUCCGAACUUUCUGAAUUUGAUGAGUCAACGGAUUCUUGAGAAUUUGAUUCUGUUUUUCUUCUUUUAAUUGAUACCUCAGAAUUUUUAUUUGAACUAUCCACACUGUCGUCGCUAUCGCUAGCAUCCUCGUCCGCCUCCAAAGUCUGCCGUAACAGCUCUUGAUAAUCAACCUCAACAUCGUUAUUGGGUUUAUCGUCCGUUGAAGGGGAAGUGAAACCUUCUAUGAGUUUUGAAUUCUGGCUUACUUCUUCAGAAGAGGCACCAUGUUCUUGAGUUGCAAAAUGUGCAGCCUCUGCACGUAACAAUGCCUCUCGUAAAUCCUGUUUUCUGACCUCUUCCUCAGUUCCUUGAGAUUCUUGUCUAUAUUUUAGUUUUAAAUGAGCUGGUAAUGCGCGACUAGACGUUAUCCUAGUAGGGGCCAUUUCUGAAUGCCCCCUAGCUGGAUCAAAUUGGGGUCUCUAAACAUGAGUUAGUUUUAAAUUAUAAAAUAGAGGAUAUAUAUGUAAAUUGAGCAUACAUGUGCAGUCGUCAUAUUGAAAAAAUAUGCAAUUCACAACUGUUAUUAUUGAGACU